UCCUAGCCGUAAACUAUGGGUACUAGGCAAUGGGACAACUUAUGUGUUUCAUUGCCGCAGCUAAUGUGUUAAGUACCCCGCCUGGGGAGUACGCUCGCAAGGGUAAAACUCAAAGGAAUUGACGGGGGAUCACACAAGCAGUGGAGCAUGUUGUUUAAUUCGAAGCAACGCGAAGAACCUUACCAGGCCUUGACAUGCAUGGAUUAGCUUCCUGAAAGGGAAUGACGCCUCUUCGGAGGUGGAACAUGUGCAGGUGUUGCAUGGCUGUCGUCAGCUCGUGCCGUGAGGUGUUGGGUUAAGUCCCGUAACGAGCGAAACCCUUAUUGUUAGUUGCCAGCGGGUUAUGCCGGGG
rnacentral:rRNA from 1 species